ACAUCGAGCAGCAUCCACCCAAACGAGAUUUCUUACGUUUGGCUGGGCCAGGGGGCUAUCACCCCCUAUAUUAAGCUGCUAGCCAAAGCGAGAGUUACACUUUAAAUAGAUUUUACAAAAAUAACAAAAUCAACUUUAAGAAAAUACCCCACGUAUGGAGGAAGAUGACUUUUUUGAAUUCUGACCACUUCCAUUUUGAACGUAUAAGCACCAAAAUCUACCGUUCUCUGAUACUACAGUUCAAGGACUAUAACUUGCAAGGAAAAAUAACAAAGAGUACAAUAUGCAACGCUUAGAGGACAUCUGCAUUAAUCUGCAUUGAGACUGUCAUGACCCUAAAGCUUAAGGCUGAUGAUUCUGAACUGUAAAAGAUGUUAAUCAGUCUGAAGCUUCUGAUGAC